rnacentral:rRNA from 1 species
AGGACUUGACAUCCCCCUGACGGGAGUAGAGAUAUUCCGUCCCUUCGGGGCAGGGGAGAC